ACAUGUCGCGACGGAGUAUGAGGCUGGUUUUAGGGGGAUACUACAACCAAUCCUCUGAGGAUGACGAAUCCUCCUCAGUUUCCUACAGGGAGAGCCCUGUGAGGGUCUUUACCAAGAGGAAGAGAGGGGGUCAUAAAGUGGCCUCCACUUGUACCUCCAGCCGGGCCAACAGCGUGGCUAGCACCACUAGCACGAUGGAGCCACUCAGUAAUGCUGAGGACAACAUUGGGGUCUCAAGUUUGGUUCAGAGGAGGAAGACCUUCCAGGAGCCUCCCAGUGUGGCUCCAGCACCAGCCCCCAGCCUGAAUCUGGCUCCUAGCCCCAGGGGCUUCCCCCCCUGCCAGACCAGCCUUAACCAGGCCCAGAGCCAGAGCAGCACCAUGGACAGCUCUGGUUACUCCUCUUCAGAGGCAAGAUGUUUCAAAGGAUACUCUGGAUACACGUCUUUGUACGGACAAAGUGCUAGCGCCAGCCAGAGCUCUGGCGCCAGCAGGAAAAGCGCCAGCUGGACCCCUCCGUUUGUCCCUGCCGGUGUGGGGAAGGCCAUUCUAAUUGCCUUCCUCCUCCUCUUGACUUUUGGCUGCUGGCACCUUGCCCCCUUAGUAUGGUCCACCCUGACUCCGACUAUGACCCUGAACCGACCAGUCAUCACCCCGACUCCACCCCCUGUCUUCAGUCUGCCUCCCAAGGCUAUGGAUGAAGCGUCGGUAUUCAAUUCUGCUUUGGAAGCCAAGAUGAACACCAUCCUGACAGAAAUAGAAACACUUAAGAAGAAAGACCACCAGCAGAAAUUUGUUACCGAGAUGGUAGAGAGACUACAGACAGACUUGACAGACGUGAGGACAGACAUGAGGAAUGUGAGAGUGGACAGUGUGGAUCCUUUGGAUUGGGAACGUCGUUUGAGCCAGCAGACAGCCGGCUUCUCCAGUCAGGUAGACGACCUCAAGGAGCAACACACACACGUCAGGGGGAGAGUCGCUGCCCUGGAGGACCAGACUGCCAUGCUGCAGCAACAGGUCUACUCUGUCCAGAACCAGCCUCCCCCAGAGCCCAGCCCCACCAAAGCCAACGCACACCUGACCACCGAGCUCAAAGAGGCCAUGGCCAAAUGGCUGCAUGAGAAUGUGCCCCAGAAUGAGCCACGGAUAGUGAAAGAGAUUGUGAAGGACUGCAGUCCUCCAUUGGCUGACAGGNNNNNNNNNNACGCUUUCAUGUUCCGUCAACAUCAUGACAGUCUAAAUAAAUCCCUCUAUUUUGCAGAAUCAGGGUGGUUUCAUACACUGGCUUCUGUCUAG
rnacentral:lncRNA from 13 species